GACCUCGAAUCAGGUAGGACUACCCGCUGAACUUAAGCAUAUCAAUAAGCGGAGGA
rnacentral:rRNA from 3 species